CUUACCAUGCAAGUCGAACGGAAAGGCCCUGCUUGCAGGGUGCUCGAGUGGCGAACGGGUGAGUAACACGUGGGUGAUCUGCCCUGCACUUCGGGAUAAGCUUGGGAAACUGGGUCUAAUACCGGAUAGGACUACGGCCUGCAUGGGUUGUGGUGGAAAGCUUUUGCGGUGUGGGAUGGGCCCGCGGCCUAUCAGCUUGUUGGUGGGGUGAUGGCCUACCAAGGCGACGACGGGUAGCCGGCCUGAGAGGGUGUCCGGCCACACUGGGACUGAGAUACGGCCCAGACUCCUACGGGAGGCAGCAGUGGGGAAUAUUGCACAAUGGGCGCAAGCCUGAUGCAGCGACGCCGCGUGGGGGAUGACGGCCUUCGGGUUGUAAACCUCUUUCACCAUCGGCGAAGCCGGAUGCUUUUGUGUCUGGUGACGGUAGGUGGAGAAGAAGCACCGGCCAACUACGUGCCAGCAGCCGCGGUAAUACGUAGGGUGCGAGCGUUGUCCGGAAUUACUGGGCGUAAAGAGCUCGUAGGUGGUUUGUCGCGUUGUCCGUGAAAUUCCCUGGCUUAACUGGGGGCGUGCGGGCGAUACGGGCAGACUGGAGUACUGCAGGGGAGACUGGAAUUCCUGGUGUAGCGGUGGAAUGCGCAGAUAUCAGGAGGAACACCGGUGGCGAAAGCGGGUCUCUGGGCAGUAACUGACGCUGAGGAGCGAAAGCGUGGGGAGCGAACAGGAUUAGAUACCCUGGUAGUCCACGCCGUAACGGUGGGUACUAAGGUGGUGGGGUUUCCUUCCUUGGGAUCCGUGCCGUAGC
rnacentral:rRNA from 1 species